GCCAAUACCCGAGCCCUCGCAAGCUCCCCUCCAAGGGUUAAAUUUUAAACAGUUUUUUUUUUUUUUCUGGACAAGUCCAGAAACCCUGAAUUUGGGUGAGGUGGGGGAGCCCCCCCCCCACUGCAAAUGCUAAGAACUAGUUCAUAUUUCUAGAUCGAUUCUUUUAAAGCUGUGAAAAUGAAAGAAAAAGAAACGAGAAAGAAUAAAAGAAAGAGACCAACAACUCUUUUCUAAGAUUUUAAAGCGAUAGUCCAGUCGGAGGAGCCGAGAUUUAUUUGGGAGAAAGCAAGAUUGCAGGAAGCCGGACCCACUUUUUGGAAGACCAGCCCACCUGCUUGGAAAUUGGGACUGUUGAUUCCUCCAAUUAACGUAAUGCGUUCGGUGUUAAUCAUAUUUAUUUUAUUUUAUGGAGGGGGAAGGACGCUAAGAGGGUGCACUGGAAAAAAAAUCUGGGAAGCCUGCAAAAGGAUUGAAGAGUGGAAACUAUUGUUGGACCGAGUUGGUUUUUACCUCAACAGCGCCACCUUUCGGCAAAGGGCUUUUCCUUCCAUGAAAUACUGGUUGUGCACAAGAGAUGUGAGAAAGCCAGAUGUUUUCUGGGAAGGUGUGCCAGAUUUCACCCAGAUCUGUUUCCUUCCUUUAUCUGACAAAUCCCAGCACGUCCUAGCAGACAGGAGGCACUGAUUUAAUAAAUAGUUUGGGGGAUACAUGAACACUGGAAUUAAAGGGGCUCUGUGGUUUUAGCAGUAGAGAUGUGAAACCAUGGGGCCUGUUUUCCCAGAUUGCCACCUUUUUUCUAUUUCCCCUUUCCUUUUUCAGGGCAUAGCCAUCUGCUUCUGCUUAGAUUUUUCUUUCCCUUCAAUUAAGGACUGACUGUGACUUGCUCUUCCAUUCUCAUUGCUUUUGAUCCCAUUCGCAGCUUAUGCCAGUGAGGGAAUUUAUCUCCAAAGCAUUCGACCCUUCGAAGAUUUUACUGUCAUCGACUCAGAACUGCUCUUAAGAAAAGCAAAGGAAAUUAAAAAAAAAAAAAAAAAAAGGAACC